GGAGGGUUGUAGCUCAGUAGUAGAGCAUCUGCUUGGCAUGCAGAAGGCCCCAGGAUUUCAGUCCCCAGCAUCUCCA